ACCUUCCUGGGUUGUGCGCUCGUCGGGUACGUCCUCGAGCCGAUGCGCUUUACCCAGGUGGCCACUUUAGGGCAUUGUGAGCAUGUCCCCUGCGGGGGAAAGCCUAAUAUGUCACAGCGGUCACCGACCUUGAACUUGGGUUCAAGGACCUACAUCCGAUAACGGCAGCCCGGGAAGCUU
rfam:Marinobacter sp. BSs20148, complete genome.